rnacentral:rRNA from 1 species
GACGAACGCUGGCGGCGUGCUUAACACAUGCAAGUCGAACGAUGAAGCGGGUGCUUGCCCUCGUGGAUUAGUGGCGAACGGGCGAGUAACACGUGAGUAACCUGUCCUUUUCUUUGGGAUAACGGCUGGAAACGGCUGCUAAUACUGGAUAUUCAGGCUGCAUCGCAUGGUGUGGUUUGGAAAGGUUUUUUCUGGGAUUGGGUGGGCUCGCGGCCUAUCAGCUUGUUGGUGGGGUGAUGGCUUACCAAGGCUUUGACGGGUAGCCGGCCUGAGAGGGUGGUCGGUCGCACUGGGACUGAGAUACGGCCCAGACUCCUACGGGAGGCAGCAGUGGGGAAUAUUGCACAAUGGACGAAAGUUUGAUGCAGCGACGCCGCGUGGAGGGUGUAGGCCUUCGGGUUGUGAACUCCUUUUUCUCGCGAAAAAGGCACAGUUUUGGCUGUGUUGAUGGUAGUGGGGGAAGAAGCGCCGGCUAACUACGUG